rnacentral:rRNA from 1 species
GAUGAACGCCGGCGGUGUGCCUAAUACAUGCAAGUCGAACGCGUUGGCCCAACUGAUUGAACGUGCUUGCACGGACUUGACGUUGGUUUACCAGCGAGUGGCGGACGGGUGAGUAACACGUAGGUAACCUGCCCCAAAGCGGGGGAUAACAUUUGGAAACAGAUGCUAAUACCGCAUAACAAUUUGAAUCGCAUGAUUCAAAUUUAAAAGAUGGCUUCGGCUAUCACUUUGGGAUGGACCUGCGGCGCAUUAGCUUGUUGGUAGGGUAACGGCCUACCAAGGCUGUGAUGCGUAGCCGAGUUGAGAGACUGAUCGGCCACAAUGGAACUGAGACACGGUCCAUACUCCUACGGGAGGCAGCAGUAGGGAAUCUUCCACAAUGGGCGCAAGCCUGAUGGAGCAACACCGCGUGAGUGAAGAAGGGUUUCGGCUCGUAAAGCUCUGUUAUUGGGGAAGAAGCAGUGACGGUACCCAAUGAGGAAGUCCCGGCUAACUACGUG